UACAGGGGGUGCAAACGUUGCUCGGAAUCAUUGGGCGUAAAGCGCACGUAGGCGGUUUGUUAUGUCGGAUGUGAAAGCCCUUGGCUCAACUGAGGAAGUGCAUCCGAAACUGGCAAGCUAGAGUACUAAAGAGGAUCGCGGAAUUCCCGGUGUAGAGGUGAAAUUCGUAGAUAUCGGAAGGAACAUCAGUGGCGAAAGCGACUUCCUGGACCAGUACCGACGUUCAGGCACGAAAGCGUGGGGAGCAAACAGG
rnacentral:rRNA from 1 species